rnacentral:lncRNA from 1 species
UGUUAAUACGUAACUAUUUACCAUUUACUUGUGCUAAAUGCACGUGUGUCACAAAACAGUACAGAAUGUGUCCCGAUUACAAAUCCAUCACGACAUUUGCAGGUGUUACUCCAAUAGCAUCGAAAGGGCAAACACAUGAGUAUUGUUUCACGUGCUGCCAGCACUAUCCCAAGCAGAAAGGAGAAUGGGGUAUUAUAUGGAGCAUCUUGCCUGCGUACGUGGAAGCCAUAGGCUUUCACUGUCAGUGGCUAUGCGUUUGCACAUAUUUUUAGUAGAGUGAUGUAAACCUUCAUUUAAAAAGCCAGUUGAUGGAGUACUAUUGGAUUUUAUUGAGACUAUAAUGAUGAAAAAAGCCAUUCUGUCUCAGUGCCAUCCCUGGGGUUAUGCAGCACACCUCUCUUCCAAUAAUUGCAUAUGGCAAUAACAAGCCAGUGGCUCCAUAGGAUAAUUGGCUCCUCCUUACUGCGUUUGUGGCUAGUCAAUCUGAGAAUUACUGAGAUCGAACAAAAGCCAUGGUGGCUACAAGACUGAGGCCCAUAUUGAUCUAGAAAGAAUGGGAUGCAUCUGUCAGGCCAGGAAGAAUACAUCAUGUUCCUGGUGAGAAAAUUCUUUUCGAAGAAAAGGGAAAUAAUUAUUCACUCCAGUGGAACACUUGAAGCAACAGCACACACACUCACAAAAGGCUCUAAUAGAACCCUUAUAGGUGGAAAAGAAAGAGCAUUUUUCUUCAUUCUUUGCUUUUCUGCUGAUAAUUCCUACUUGAGAAAACAUUAUGAGAAACUGAAUCUCAAAGAAGACAAGCAACUUCCUGAUAAUGAGCACAUGACUCAGUGCACUUGCCAAGAAAGGUUCAAAGCAGCCCUCCUUCCAAGGGGAAGCCUUGUCUGAAUCAAAGGAAAAGAAAGGUGUUUUAAGUCCAUGCCAUGACGUCCUUGAAAAUCAUCUUUGAGCAUAACCUUAGCAUAUCCAAUUCCAGGAAACAUCUCAUCUCCAAUGUAGUCCGUUUCCUCUCCAGACUAGUCCUGAAGAAUAGGAGGUCUCCAGUAUUGAAAGCAACUCUGGCUCCUGCUCCUAAUUUCUCAAGCCAUUCCAGGCUGGCUCAUGUUCUCAUCAUCUCUCCGCGCUGACCACCUAUGACUCUCAUGACAAUAAAUGCACUGGGUCCUUGCCA